rnacentral:rRNA from 1 species
CGUAAGGCGCCGAAUGAGUCAUUAAAAAAUUAACAUCAUCCGAUCCCUAGUCGGCAUAGUUUAUGGUUAAGACUACGACGGUAUCUGAUCGUCUUCGAUCCCCCUAACUUUCGUUCUUGAUUAAUGAAACAUCCUUGGCAAAUGCUUUCGCAGUAGUUAGUCUUCAAUAAAUCCAAGAAUUUCACCUCUGACAAUUGAAUACUAAUGCCCCCAACUAUCCCUAUUAAUCAUUACGUCAAUCCUAGAAACCAAACUAAAAUAGGAUCGAACGUCCUAUUUCAUUAUUCCAUGCUAAUGUAUUCAAGCGUUAGCUUGCUUUAAACACUCUAAUUUUUU